UCCAAGGUUGAGGGUGGUGUUGGUGGUUUGCCUUGGGACCGACUUGCUGUGGGUAUCUUCCUCCUUCUUGUUGCCGUGGAAUCCACGCCGUAUGCUUGCCUUCGGGCUGCCGGCGAUGGGAUGAAACCAAUGGGGCUCAAUGUUGGAAGAAAAGUGAUUUCAUUCCACUAAACAACGGAUUACAAAUAGGACUCGGCAAAGGUCGGGAAGGGACCUUGCACAACCUAAGAACAACCUAGGGGGGCUGAUGUUCCCCACCCUAGUCCCAAGCCUUUCGGCCGACAAAAGAAAGGGAUACAACCCUUGACACAAUGGUGGAAAAACAAUGUUCUAAGAGAUGAUUGCCUAAGGGCCCUAAUGGCUCCUUUUAAUGGCCGACGGCCUUGGCUUAUUUUUGGACUAAAACCCUAAUGAAAAGGACUCCUAAUUCGGCCGCAAUGGCCUGGUCAAUCUUGGCCUUUGGUUCGGCCAUGUGCUGCAGAUGGUUGGGCGCUCGGGAUUUGCUGUUGGCGUGGCUUCUGUGCGUGGCAUUUGCUGUGGCUGCCAUCUGUCCGUGCGCAGCCAGAUUUGGUUGCUGCGCCGGGCGGCUGGGCUGGGUUUCCUGUUGUGCCGAGCUUGCUUCCUGGUUUGCCAUG
rnacentral:lncRNA from 1 species